UUUUAGCUUGACUCUGACUAUAAUAUUUUCUAUUUCUCAAAUAAUACAUGCAAGCUUUAUGCUCUCCCGCGAGGAUGACCACAAUCCUUAUUACUCUUAAAGAUUUAUUUACAGAAUGUUAUUUCAUUAAAUUUAGAUCCUUUUCUAAAAUAUUUAAUUAACCUCCCGCCUGCAGUACUAAAUACUAAAUAACUAAGGAAACUUAGUAAUGAUUAUUGAUUAAUAUUAGGGCCGGCCAAACUGGUGCCAGAAGCCUCGGUUAGACCAACGAGCCCAAGUAAAUAUUUUACGGAAUAUGCGGUAAAAACAUUCCUAUGACAAAUCUAAUACAACAUAUAUUAGGGGUAUAAUCCGACCAUUAUUAAUUCUUCCCUAAAUGUCAAUAUAUUUUAAACCCGCGAAAGCUUAAACCAAAACCAGGAUUAGAUACCCAAUUAUUCUAAGCUAUAAAUCCACAAAUACCUUGGCACUACAACUACAUAGUUCAAACCGAAAGAGAUUGGCGGCAUUCUAACAUCCCAGGGGAACCUGUUCUAUAAUUCGAUAAUCCACGCAAACCUUACUCCUUUUUAAAUCUCAGCCUGUAUAUUGCCGUCGUCACGUUAACCACGCAAGUGUUAUUCUAAGUAUGCAUAAAGAUUAAUCACCCUAAAGUCAGGUCAAAAUAUAGCCUAUAAAAGAGAAAGAAUGGGUUACAAUUCAAUACACCUCUAAAAAUCAAGAUUUAAAUAAUCUAUUAAUAGUAGGACUUGGUAGUAAAAAGUAGAAAUAAUACACUUUUGAAAUCUGUAUCUAGAAUGAGCACAUAUCGCCCGUCACCCUCGCCGAAAGGUGAGGUAAGUCGUAACAUAGUAGGUGUAACGGAAGUUGCACCUAUCAGAAC
rnacentral:rRNA from 1 species